rnacentral:rRNA from 1 species
UACGUAGGGUGCAAGCGUUAAUCGGAAUUAUUGGGCGUAAAGCGUGCGCAGGCGGUUUUGUAAGCCAGAUGUGAAAUCCCCGGGCUUAACCUGGGAAUGGCAUUUGGGACUGCAAGGCUGGAGUGCGGCAGAGGAGACUGGAAUUCCUGGUGUAGCAGUGGAAAUGCGUAGAUAUCAGGAGGAACACCGAUGGCGAAGGCAGGUCUCUGGGCUGACACUGACGCUCAUGCACGAAAGCGUGGGGAGCAACAGG